UACGUAGGGUGCGAGCGUUAAUCGGAAUUACUUGGCGUAAAGCGUGCGCAGGCGGUUCGUUAUGUCCGAUGUGAAAGCCCCGAGCUUAACUUGGGAAUGGCAUUGGAAACUGGCGGGCUGGAGUGCGGCAGAGGGGGGUGGAAUUCCACGUGUAGCAGUGAAAUGCGUAGAGAUGUGGAGGAACACCGAUGGCGAAGGCAGCCCCCUGGGCCGACACUGACGCUCAGGCACGAAAGCGUGGGGAGCAAACAGG
rnacentral:rRNA from 1 species